rnacentral:rRNA from 1 species
GAAUAUUAGUCAAUGCUCGCAAGAGUGAACUAGCUAACUGAAAUCAUAUAAGUGUCUUAUGUGAUGUCGUAAGGGAAAAUAAUGAUAUUACCUUACUAAUAGUGUCGUCUAAAACUGGUGCCAGAAGACUCGGUAAGGCCAGAGACACAAAUGUUAAUCGUCUUAAUCAGGCGUAAAGGGUUUGUAGGCUGCUUUGAAAAUAUUAAUUUAAUAUAG